rnacentral:rRNA from 1 species
GUGGGGAAUUUUGGACAAUGGGGGAAACCCUGAUCCAGCGACGCCGCGUGAGGGAAGACGGCCUUCGGGUUGUAAACCUCUUUUGUACGGGAAGAAGGAAGUGACGGUACUGUACGAAUAAGUCCCGGCUAACUACGUGCCAGCAGCCGCGGUAAUACGUAGGGGACGAGCGUUGUCCGGAAUUACUGGGCGUAAAGGGCGCGCAGGCUGUGCUGCAAGUCAGCUGUGAAAUGUCUGGGCUUAACCCGGGCAUGCGGUUGAGACUGCAGUGCUGGAGUGCUGUAGAGGCAAGUGGAAUUCCCAGUGUAGCGGUGAAAUGCGUAGAUAUUGGGAAGAACACCGGUGGCGAAGGCGACUUGCUGGGCAGCAACUGACGCUGAGGCGCGAAAGCCAGGGGAGCAAACGGGAUUAGAUACCCGAGUAGUCC